GUCUACGGCCAUACCACCCUGAACGCGCCCGAUCUCGUCUGAUCUCGGAAGCUAAGCAGGGUCGGGCCUGGUUAGUACUUGGAUGGGAGAAGACCAAAGUCAAUGUAAAGU
rnacentral:rRNA from 1 species